GCUCGCAGAGUCGCGACAAGUGAGCGGCAGAGCUCAAUUUGAAUCUGGCACCUUCGGCGUCCGAGUUGUAUUUGGAGAGACUUUCUGGGACUGUCCUUUGCCUAUGUUCCUUGAAACAGGAUCCAGAAGGGUGGAAACCCCGUGUGGCGAGGGGGGCGGUUCUUUGUGAGGGCUCCCAAGAGUCGAGUUGUUGGAGAAUA
rnacentral:rRNA from 1 species